GAUGAACGCUGACAGAAUGCUUAACACAUGCAAGUCAACUUGAACUUCGGUUUGGGUGGCGGACGGGUGAGUAACGCGUAAAGAACUUGCCUCACAGCUAGGGACAACAUUUGGAAACGAAUGCUAAUACCUGAUAUUAUGAUUUUAGGGCAUCCUAGAAUUAUGAAAGCUAUAUGCGCUGUGAGAGAGCUUUGCGUCCCAUUAGCUAGUUGGAGAGGUAACGGCUCACCAAGGCGAUGAUGGGUAGCCGGCCUGAGAGGGUGAACGGCCACAAGGGGACUGAGACACGGCCCUUACUCCUACGGGAGGCAGCAGUGGUGAAUAUUGGACAAUGGACCAAGAGUCUGAUCCAGCAAUUCUGUGUGCACGAUGAAGUUUUUCGGAAUGUAAAGUGCUUUCAGUUGGGAAGAAAAAAAUGACGGUACCAACAGAAGAAGUGACGGCUAAAUACGUG
rnacentral:rRNA from 1 species